rnacentral:rRNA from 1 species
UACGUAGGUGGCAAGCGUUGUCCGGAUUUACUGGGCGUAAAGAGCGCGCAGGCGGUCGUUCAAGUCGCGUGUGAAAGCCCCCGGCUCAACUGGGGAGGGUCACGCGAUACUGAUCGACUCGAAGGCAGGAGAGGGUAGUGGAAUUCCCGGUGUAGUGGUGAAAUGCGUAGAUAUCUGGAGGAACACCGGUGGCGAAGGCGGCAUUCUGGACCGACAUUGACGCUGAGGAGCGAAAGCCAGGGGAGCAAACGGG